ACCCAGACGAUCAUUUACGUUAGGUUCGAAACUGCAAAUCACAAUUCUGUUAAUGAAGAAGUACAAGUCCUGGGCGGAAAAAGAGUCGCAGUCAGCGGCUCCUCCAAGAACUUCGUCUUUCUACAUAGAAACGUUUGGUGAAUUUUCAUCUGGUAGUAGCUCAAAUAGCAUUGAAUGCCACACUAGCCACAGGGUCAUCAAUCUAGGGGUGCAGCAGCUUAAUUAUUGCACCACGCUUAUGAUGUGAGAGAGAAUGGACAGUGAAGAAAAUUCACCCCCAUGUCAACCAGGAAUGUAGACAAAUUUCAGAAGGUCACUGACAGCGAGGAUGAAGUUACAAAUGCAAUUGGAUUUUCAACCUGAGUAGUUUCAUGGUUCACUAUGGAUAUACUCUCUGCCAUAUGGACUCCAUCAUAAAAGAAUAAACUCUUAACUCAAAUGAGGUGGACAAAAAUGAGGAGGUACACCAUGAAAAUGCUGCAGUUAAUUUGAAAGGUACUUUGGUUUAGUGCCCACUUCAAGUUCCCAAUAGUGGUGCUAGUUACAUUAUUUCAGUCCUAUGCCUUAGCAAGCUUAAUCAGAAGUUAACUACUGACUUAAAAUUGUUUAACAUCAACAAUAUGUAAAGUCCUUUCGCAUCUAACAAUGAAAUUUUUCUCAUUGCACUGAGGUUUUCAGAACCAUACGGCUGGUAGCAUCUUCAAUAGUUUUAUUCUUUGUGUGGACAAGAUCUCCUUGUUGAUCGAAGUAGUGUAGUACAUUUUUAUUCAGUGUUCAAUGUAAGUAUAUGAACAGUCUGUCUCCACUUCAAUUCAGGUGUGAAUGUCUUAAAUGUAACAUUCCAUGCCAAUUAGAUUAUAUAUUUCUGAAAUGCUCUCAUCUUUUCAAUGAUCUAGAAAUCCUGUAUUAUUUUGUUAGUAUCACAUAAUUUGUAUAUGAAGAUGUUAUCAAUGGUUCUGGGUACAAACUUCCUGUUCAACAACUUAUCCUAACUUGAAAAGAGUUUCUUUUGCACCUGUAUAUAAGUUUUCUAUGAAAUCAGGAUUCCCAUUUAUAGCCUACCGGUUCUUUCUGGAAUUUUAUAAGAGAAAUAUAUUUCACGCAUUGGUCAUUCGUUGUGCAGGGUAUGUUUCUGCUACUAAAAUAGGUAUCCGUUAAUGACAUUAACGUUGUUAAUGAAUUACUAUCUUAAGUUUCUGAAGUUAAUUAAUCAUGUUGUUGAAAAGCAAAUCAACCCACAGCGGCGGCCUAUGUUUUGCUGCAAAUUUUCUCUAUAUUGAAAAUUGAAAUGAAAUAAACGAAAUAAUUAAGUCAA